AUACGUAGGGGGCGAGCGUUGUCCGGAAUGAUUGGGCGUAAAGGGCGCGUAGGCGGCCCGGUAGGUCUGGAGUGAAAGUCCUGUUUUUAAGAUGGGAAUUGCUUUGGAUACUGUCGGGCUUGAGUGCAGGAGAGGUAAGUGGAAUUCCCAGUGUAGCGGUGAAAUGCGUAGAGAUUGGGAGGAACACCAGUGGCGAAGGCGACUUACUGGACUGUAACUGACGCUGAGGCGCGAAAGCGUGGGGAGCAAACAGGAUUAGAUACCCUGGUAGUCCACGCUGUAAACGAUGAAUACUAGGUGUGGGGGGACUGACCCCCUCCGUGCCGCAGUUAACACAAUAAGUAUUCCACCUGGGGAGUACGAUCGCAAGAUUGAAACUUAAAGGAAUUGACGGGG
rnacentral:rRNA from 1 species